rnacentral:lncRNA from 10 species
UCGCCGGGGCCGCAGCGCGGGAUUCCAGCCUCAGGCGUGCACGGACGGUCUCCGGAGGCCGGGAUUCGCGGAGGGUCCAUCAGGAGGAAGAAACCUCAGACAGAUCUCCGGGGAGACAGCGCGGGAUCCCAGCCUCAGGCGUGCGCGGACAGUGUGCGGGUGAGUCUCCCCAAAAGUGGCGCUCUUGGGAUGUCGAGGACAGGUCUGCCUGUGUGUCCGUGGGCUGCUCUCUUCACCGGUGGCUUGGUAGUCGCA